GGAUAUAGCUCAGUGGUAAGAGUGUUGGACUCGUAAUUUGAAGACCCAGGUUCGAAUCCUGUAGUUUUAACU
rnacentral:tRNA from 1 species